rnacentral:rRNA from 1 species
GAUGAACGCUGGCGGCGUGCCUAAUACAUGCAAGUCGAGCGAACAGAUAAGGAGCUUGCUCCUUUGACGUUAGCGGCGGACGGGUGAGUAACACGUGGGUAACCUACCUAUAAGACUGGGAUAACUUCGGGAAACCGGAGCUAAUACCGGAUAACAUUUGGAACCGCAUGGUUCUAAAGUGAAAGAUGGUUUUGCUAUCACUUAUAGAUGGACCCGCGCCGUAUUAGCUAGUUGGAAAGGUAACGGCUUACCAAGGCAACGAUACGUAGCCGACCUGAGAGGGUGAUCGGCCACACUGGAACUGAGACACGGUCCAGACUCCUACGGGAGGCAGCAGUAGGGAAUCUUCCGCAAUGGGCGAAAGCCUGACGGAGCAACGCCGCGUGAGUGAUGAAGGGUUUCGGCUCGUAAAACUCUGUUAUUAGGGAAGAACAAACGUGUAAGUAACUGUGCACGUCUUGACGGUACCUAAUCAGAAAGCCACGGCUAACUACGUG